GGACAUAAAUUGUAAGUCAUACAUUAUUUCUGAAGAUCCUGUUUGAAUGUUAGAAUAAGUUAUCCGAUAAAAAUUUAAUCAAUGUAAGAAUUUUUUUCAUACCAACUACUAGAUACUGUAUGGGCGUGUUUGGUUCGCUGCUUUUGCACUCUGGAAUUGAAAUCGGAAUGGGCGAUUCCUUUUGUGGGUGUUUGGUAUGCGGAAGUCCCAUUCCGAUUCCGAUUCCCGAGUGGAAUGGAAAUCCCCCACUCACUUCUGUUGCCAAUCCGGCCUCCUAGGCCGGAUUAGAAGUUGAAUCCGAACGUAAUGGAUAUUUAUUCGGAUUAAAUUUAUUUUUUAACUUUUUUAAUUAAAAUAUAAGUUUAAAUUUAGAAAUUAAAUAUAUAAUUUUAAAUUUUAAUGUGAACUUAAAUUAAAAAUUAAAAUUUAAUCAAGUAUUUUGAAUAUAACUUAUGAAUUUGAAUUUAAAUUAAAUUUUAAUUUAUAUAAAUGUCACGCCACGGAUUACUACGUUUUCCUGGGCACGCCAACAAACCCGUCGUAUACGUAGGAAUUUUCCGUAUAUACGAAGAGAUAGUUGUAUAUGUAAUCAAAUUAUAGCUACAACCCAAAGUAUAGAGCUGCUAAAAUUAAAACAUGCAUAUAUAAAAGCAAAGGAUUUACUGUACAUACAACAUCCAGAACUACACCUCGCUCCAACGAGUACACAAAACAUAAGGUAUGUACAUGAACCAAAAUACCUCAAAACUACCUGUGAAGGGUACUCCUCUAGUACGGUGACACGACUGGUAGGGUUCUAGCUCGCGACUCCCUUCCCGCGGUCGGAAUCAGCAACAGCAGCAGCCGUAGACGAAGGCUCUGCAAAAGGUGUCAACAACUGGGUGUGAGAACUACGGAAAUGAAAGAUUUGAGCUAACGUGAAAGAAAAUGAUAUUGAAAAGGAAUUUACAGAGGUGGGGAUGUAAAAGAGUUAGUGAAG
rnacentral:lncRNA from 1 species